rnacentral:rRNA from 1 species
ACUGAACGCUGGCGGAAUGCUUUACACAUGCAAGUCGAACGGUAGAGGGGGCAACCCCUCGAGAGUGGCGAACGGGUGAGUAAUAUAUCGGAACGUGCCCAGUCGUGGGGGAUAACGUAGCGAAAGUUACGCUAAUACCGCAUACGAUCUAAGGAUGAAAGCGGGGGAUCGCAAGACCUCGCGCGAUUGGAGCGGCCGAUAUCAGAUUAGGUAGUUGGUGGGGUAAAGGCUCACCAAGCCAACGAUCUGUAGCUGGUCUGAGAGGACGACCAGCCACACUGGAACUGAGGCACGGUCCAGACUCCUACGGGAGGCAGCAGUGGGGAAUUUUGGACAAUGGACGCAAGUCUGAUCCAGCCAUUCCGCGUGCAGGAUGAAGGCCCUCGGGUUGUAAACUGCUUUUGUACGGAACGAAAAGGUCUCUCUUAAUACGGGGGGCUCAUGACGGUACCGUAAGAAUAAGCACCGGCUAACUACGUGCCAGCCGCCGCAGUAA